GUCUACCUACGGGGGGCAGCAGUAGGGAAUUUUCGUCAAUGGGCGCAAGCCUGAACGAGCAAUGCCGCGUGAGUGAGGAAGGUCUUCGGAUCGUAAAGCUCUGUUGCGGGGGGAAAAAGGACAGAAAGAGGAAAAGCUUUCUGUUUGAUGGUACCCCGCCAGAAAGUCACGGCUAACUACGUGCCAGCAGCCGCGGUAAUACGUAGGUGGCGAGCGCUAUCCGGAAUGAUUGGGCGUAAAGGGUGCGCAGGCGGCAUGUCAAGUCUGAAGUGAAAGGUACGGGCUUAACCUGUACAG
rnacentral:rRNA from 1 species